rnacentral:tRNA from 1 species
GAGGGCAGAGCUCAGUGGUGGAGCGCCUGCUUGGCAUGCACAAGGUCCUGGGCUCAAUCCCCAGUACCUCUG